UGCUUAAAUAUCAUGAGACUGGGGGUGAAUCAAGGGUUGAUCCCCAAUAUGGUGCAUGGAAUAUGAUAAACAAGAAAAUGGUGAAUGGUGGGAUGGUGGAUUUUUGGACAUGUGUGAACUUCUCUAUGCAGGUCCACCGAAAUUUGCCUCAUGACUUUUGUUAUCAGUUAAUUCAGAUGUGUGUCAGCAAAGGAAUGGGAUUCAACCCAAAUCCUAUUAUUCCAGUACAGUCAGCUCAUCCUAGCCAAAUUGAGAGGGCUCUUGCUGAUGUUCACAAGCAGUGUACUGCAAAACUUGCAAAUGAGAAGAAACGGCUUCAGUUGUUGAUAAUCAUUUUACCUGAUUUAAGUGGCUCAUAUGGGAAAAUUAAACGAAUCUGUGAGACUGAAUAUGGAAUUGUCUCUCAGUGCUGUCAACCAAAGCAGGCAGCAAAGCUAAGUAAACAGUAUUUUGAAAAUGUUGCCCUCAAAAUCAAUGUUAAGGUUGGUGGUAGAAAUACUGUGUUGAAUGAUGCUAUUCAAAGGAGAAUUCCUCUUGUGACUGAUCUUCCUACAAUUAUUUUUGGUGCUGAUGUAACUCAUCCAGCUCCUGGGGAGGACUCUGUUCCAUCGAUAGCAGCAGUAGUGGCUUCAAUGGACUGGCCAGAGGUAACAAAGUAUAGAGGACUUGUCUCUGCACAGGCUCACCGUGAAGAAAUUAUCCAGGAUCUCUAUAA
rnacentral:misc_RNA from 1 species